UACCAAAAGAACACAUUGAUCAUCCCCAGUGUGUAAUGUCACUUUGUUCAUUUAGCAUAUAAAUAUUACCUCCAAACUCUAUUCUGAAUCAAUAUACAUUUAAAUGUAGCUUUGAAGGCGAUAUAUUAUGCAUGUAAGUUACAAGAAAAAGUGGAAAUUUAACCAUUAAUCAAUUAUUUUAUGGUAAGCAACGAUCAGAAACCCAUACUGUGCAAUCAAUUGUUUUCAAUAUUUAAAGCCAAGUUGGUCACAACAAAGACCAAAAUGUUCAAACCACAUGCUGGGGAAAUCUGAAAUUAAAACAACUUAAAAAAAUAACUAGUUUUCUAUUUAAAAAAAUACCAAGAUUCUCUAUUCUUCCACUGAGUUUCCCUCAAAUCGUACUUUGAAUUUUCUUAAUUUGGUUGAAAGCAAAUUGUAAAAAAUUACAGUUUUUUGAAACAAAGCAAUGUAUCAGUGAAAAUUACAUUCAACAAGGCCAGGUGUUUUAUAGUAAAACUGACAUUACUCUAAAAAUAUUGUUAGUAAGUUACAAAAAGUGUCACUCAUAUCUACCCAAGAUUCUAGCUUAAGUCUUUAACCAAUGGCUUCUACAACUCUUCAGGAAAAAGCUUCACUGCAGCAGGAUUUAACAUGCAACCCUUUCCAUUGUUAAUCAUGUAUUCAACAAGAUGACCUAAUCCUGAUCUUUCUCAUACAAUCAAAAUCCAAAUUCUCCUCAUAAUUCCUUGAAAGACCCAGUGAGAAUUCAAAGUUUAAUCAGCUACUUGGGGGUAGACAUAAUUAACAUGGGUUUGAUAGGAUCUUAGGGCCUAUCAAAUUUCAAUGCAAUAAAAAGCUAAAAUCUUACAAUCAUGGAAAUGUGUGGCUAACAUGAAGCCCUGUCUGAAGAUCGGAUCAUGACUGAGUCUUAGGCCUUAAAGCAAAUGAAAAUAAAAUUUAAAUAAUAAGUGUUUGCAUGCACAGGAGUUUCAAAGCGCAUAGUACAUGUAAAUAAAGAAGCUACCGGUAAAUUUACAAUCCAAAAAACAAAAUAUACCCUGAAAAUGACAAAAUAAUGAACUCUGCACUCUGCAUAUACUUUUCUAGUCAAUUAAUUUUUGUAAAAUACUGUAGCAGGUGCACUCUUAAAUGAAAGGAAAAGUUUAACAAUAAACACUUAAGGUUUUUCUGCUCAUUUCAGUUUAUAUGAUUCAACAAAAUCAUCACUGUAAUCAAAAGAAAAAUAUCAUCUAACAUUCUUAAUACGGAAGGCAAAUCAAGGCACACUUGAGGAGGAACUGAAAUUAUGAUUCAAAAAUCUUCCUCACAAUUGACAGUAAAAAACUAUAAUGAUAAUUUUUUUACUAUGGCUUUGCUACAACUUUCCCCAUUUCCUUCAAGGAAUAAGAAAUUCUUGUUGAACAAGGAAAUUCUUAUAACUUGACAACACAAAAAAUAUUUGUCAAUGAAUGAUAUACAUUUUGUAUUACACAUGAAAAGCAUUUUUGACUGUAGACAAACAGGUAUGAAUAUCUGUAUGACAGUUGUAUACAAUUUUUAAUUCAGACCAGUGUAUUUCAAUACAAAAAAAACACUCAAAAUAAAAAGACCUUUAAAUCAAUUCCUCAAUUGACGUGAUAUCAAAGUGGAAGAAAAUUGCCACUCAAGCUGCAUGUAUUGUGCACAAAACCACCUUGUAUGGAUACAUAGUCUAUUGGGAAAACCUUGUAGAGUAAAAUGUACCUGUAAUAAUCAUAAUUAAAAAUUAACUCUUUACCGCCAAUUGCCUCAUAUAAUUUGGUGGUGUAAUUGAACUUAGAAAUACUCUCCAUAAUGUUAGCAUCGUUGUAUGCAUAUAUAAGACUAAGUUGUAUGGAAAUAUUAUUUUCAGCAUUAUAAUUUGUGAAAAAUCAUCCAUGAAUGAACAGACAUGCAAACAUUUUUAAAGAAAAAUCUAGCAACAUAAUUAAUUAAAAGCGGUUGAAUUUUGAAUAUUUUCCAAUAUUAGCAAGUCUACAUUAUAAUCAGCAAAGAAGCUACUAAAUUAUGGUAAAAAUUCUAACAGUAUAAAACAAAACUGACCUCUAAUUAAAGCUUGACCUCUGUUUAAAAUGUCUAUUAAUCGAAGAUCUUAGGAGAAAUGAAGACAGACGAGGCAGCAUGAUCGAGGUCAUUAAAACACAGCCUCAGGGAAAAAUGUCCUUUGCUGGUUGAAUCUUGAACAUAAAUGUUCUCUUAAAGUCAUUUACCCUUUUACAAACCAGCAAAACAAAGUACAAGUCAAAAUCGAACAUAAAGCAGUUUUGACUGCUAAAAUGAAGUGGCCACAAAAUAUAGCUACUGGCAUGGUGCGAAAAGCACAACUUAAAGCUACAUGCUAAACAAAGAACCUACCAAAAUAUUUACAAACAGAGGAAAUGUGGUCUAAACUACAGCAACCAGAAUAAGUAUGCUUGAAUUUGAAUAAUUGAAAUAGAACCAAAAUUUGAAUGUAAAUACAAAAUGGCAAAAUGUCUAGAUGAUAACUUUUGAAAAAACCAGGUAGGAGAGUUCAAAAUACUCUGUGUUUACUGUUAGUAAAUACAAUCAAUUCACACAUGACUAGCUGUAGCCAACCAAGGACAGAUUAUCAAAAUUUUUGCUUAAAGACUUAUUUACCCAAGUAAUCAAUUCACCUUACUGAUGUCAAUGCAAUUUAUCCCAAUGUAAAUUGGUUGGUUCAAGAACUUGAAUAAAUAAAUCAAUAGUUUUUCAUCAUAAGGCCAUCAAAUCCAACGUUAGCAAAAUGGUUUGUGACAGCAGUUGGCUUUUUGAAGUUCCUUCCUGUCUAAAAUCUCAUCUGCAUAAUGUCGUGUGAGUUGAUUUUCCUUUGUUAUGGUUAUAAUAAAAGACAAGAAAACAAUAGCCAGGAUCAUUAAAGUUUGGCCUUGAGCAAUCAACUGACCAAUAAAGUGACUGACUCAACAUGUGUAUUGAGAAUACACUGUAUAACACUGCAUUAAAUAAUAACUUUGCACUGUGCUGGGCUGCAUGAAGUUCUAUGAAAUAAGCCACUACACAAACAGCUGUUCCGAUUCAAUGGAACAUUUCUUCCAGUACACAGUCUUCAAAUCGCCAACGAGGUAAGAUUCCAAUGAGAUUCUCACAAAAUAACUCUUUGCUUUCAUCGAGCUGAAAUUGUUAAAAUGAUAUUCAUAUAAAGCCAAGAAUUAACCUAGAUCAAAAUUUCAGAAAUCAGUGAAAUACACUGUACUUGACAUUUGCCCUAAAAUGAACUCAAAGUAUCAAAAGAAGUGAACAUAAUAUCAGAUUUAAAAUAAAAUUUAAAUCUCAUAAAAUACUUUGAUGGGCUUACAACCAAAACAGUAUAGAAGAGAAUGAUUAAGUGAUGCAUAUAAUUUUGAAAAGCAACCUAAAAUAUAGGCAGCUGUGAAAUCACAAAUGAGAUGGCGCUAGUGUAUGAAUUUAAAAAAAAUAAUUUUCUUUGGUAACUCCAUAAAAUUUAUUGUUCAGUGGUAAGACUCGCAAAUCAGCUCAAUACUUAAGAUCUGCUUUUCUUAUCAAAUUUAGAACAAAUGCACAGAUUUCCGAUUGAAAGUAAAUUGCUAUUUAUAAAGCCUUUCAUUGUUGAAGUCAACAUACACUGUCACAUCAGAAUUUGGUUCAACUACAGUAUGUCAUGAACAGUUUUGAUUUAAGAAAUUAAAACACCAAAAAACUGCCUAAAGCAGAAAGCAACUCAAACUCUAAUUCAUUGUUUGAAAUGAAAAUGCCUAUCAAGUAAAUUCAUGUACAUCUAUAUUUAUCUGUCAAAACCUACAUGUAAGACUGCAGACUAAAAUUAAUACUAAACAAUAAAUACAAUAUUCAAAACACAUCAUAUUCAUGUAUUUGCAAACUUAACACAGAACCAAUGCCACACAAUUUUGAAAACAAAAAUUAUUUCACUGCAUGGUUAAUUCAAUUUAACAACCUCUUCAAUGUGAUAUGUUUGUAUAUUUAUGUUAGCUAUUCAAUAUUACAUUGUACACUCAAUCUACAGUCAACAACAAAUUAAUGUUCAGGUCUACAAUGGACUUAACUGAGUGCUGUCAAAGGUGGUGAAAUAAGCAUUUAAAUUUACCACGAUGGCAAAUAACGAUUAACUAUCAAGUCUUUUAUGUUCAAACAUAUUGUUAACAAGAAAUCUCAGUCAAUGACUACACUGACAAUAGCAUACAUAUUUAUACAUACAUAAAGCUCUUCACACCAACCUUUAUCAUGAGUUAUGGAAAUUAACCUGUAAAUGUUAUGAGCCACAACCUUACAAAUCACCUUUUUCACCAUAAGAUUGUCUUUGUAGGAGAGAUAAAAGCCCCACGGGCCAACAUUUUUUGUUUACUUUAUCAGCAACAAAUCAAAGCCGGUUAUACUAAGAAAAGAACGGCUCAUCUCUUAGAGAACAUGAUAGCUGCAUACAUGAAAAGCUUUCAAUGGAGAAGUUGUUACCACAAAAAUCUCAAAAAUGUCAUGCAAUACUUGGGUAACAGAGACAAGAGCUCAAACAAAGUUAUCCAGAAAUUGAGACAAAACUGCAAAAUUGUGCAAUGCAGUAAUCCCUUAGCAAUGACAGUUUUCAAAUCCAUGAAGAGUGGUUUUGUGAAAAAGGUUUAAGAUACAAUCUUGUGUGACAGAACUUUUGAAUUCAGAGACUGUUUGAACUUGUGUGAACUGGAACAAUAGUCUGACAUUUAUCUCUUCAAAGAGAGUUUCGGGUUUCACUUUAACAAUGUAUGGACCAUUGUUAGAGUUUGUCAACAAAUCCAGACACUCAAACUUCACCCGCCAAGGAGGGUGAAGUGCUGCAACAAGCAUGCACAGUGACAGCAUUAUCAACAGCAGUUCUGUGUCAAAGAUACAUGUAGUCUGCCUGCCCUAACAGUUGACUGUCAAAGAUCUCAAAUCUGCAGCUGCCAUUGACAACAGCUAAUUAAGCAUAUGCAGAAAAUCAGCAAAUGGGAGAAGAGACUUGUGUGAUAUGAAACCCAGUGUGAUGCCUACAAAGUCCGAGUAGUUCUACAGAUUGCAAGACUCACACAUCUACUGGACAGAACCUGUUCAAAAGUCAACUGUAUUGUGUUAUGGCAAAGCACUUUGAAAGCAUAAAAAAUAUUGCUUUUUCUAGCAUUUUGACUCAAUAAAUCACUCCAAAAGAAA
rnacentral:lncRNA from 1 species